rnacentral:rRNA from 1 species
AUUGAACGCUGGCGGCAGGCCUAACACAUGCAAGUCGAGGGGAAGAAGGGAGCUUGCUCCUGGGUUCAGCGGCGGACGGGAGAGUAAUGCCUAGGAAUCCGCCAGGUAGUGGGGGAUAACGUCUGGAAACGGGCGCUCAUACCGCAUACGCCCUGAGGGAGAAAGUGGGGGAUCUUUGGACCUUACGCCAUCAGAUGAGCCUAGGGCGGAUUAGCUAGUUGGUGGGGUAAAGGCCUACCAAGGCGACGAUACGUAACUGGCCUGAGAGGAUGAUCAGGCACGUUGGAACUGCACCGCGGCCCAGGCCCCUCCGGUAGGCAGCGGAGCGGAAUAUUAGACAGUGGGCGGGAGCCUACUCCAGCCCUGCCACGUGUGUUGAAGAAUGCUUCGGAUCUGAAUGCUCUUUUUCUUGGGUGGAAGGGCAGUACGUUGUAAUCUUGCUGUUUUGACGGUACCAUCAGAAUAAGCACCGGCUAACUUCGUG